AUAGACUGCAACGGCCUGUGGCACCACCGUUACUACUGCACAUCUUCUUUGCCAUCCCACCCAUAUUCGCGUGCCCUUCGGUGCUGAUUUCCGUUGCUCGCGCACGAGUAGCGCAUCAUCGUCCAUAACUCACCAUAGACGCACACAUUCUGCCAGACACGCCUAAAGCUACCCUUCCCUCACACAGAUAGAUAUACGCACACACUCGUCCCAGGCCGAGAGAGAGGCACACACACGAACUCGUACACCGUCUGCGUACCCGAAAAGCGAAGGAAAAGACGACGCCACAUCCAAGCGGCAGCCGGUACAUGCACGCUUGCAUGUGCGUGAGUGUGUGUGUGUGUGUGUGUGUGUCUUUACGCCUCUGUGCGAGUGCACGUUGUUUCUUUUUUUCUUUUGUGAUUUUUUUUUUCUUUCUGCGCUUCCCUUCGUGAGGCUCACCACGCAUCCAUAGAUCAGAUUCCGCUCCCUCCGCCUUCUUGUCUUUUCCGCUCUGUCCUCCCCCGUCUCUUCUAUUCACCCUCCCGUUUCUCUGAUAACGCCGCCGAAAUCGGUCUCCCAAUGCAGAAGCCGCAGCAGAGUUUUACGACGCUGCAGCGCGCGGCGCGCGAUGGUGGUAGUGACAGCCACGCCAAAACGUGUGCUAGGCAAACGCCAGAGAACUGUGGGGUACUUCUAAAGGGCAGUCGAUCGCUGUCGCCGGCGCCGUGCUUUCCCGGCGAUGACAUAUCCCCCUCUGCGCGCCAGCAUUCGCAGCAGGAUCACCACCUCGCCGGCACACCAUUGAAGGACCAUCGCCCGCCAUCCUCGCAGCCUCGCGAGCCGUCUCAUGCGCCUCAAAGACGCCAUCCGCACAAGCAGCAGCAGCAGCUGAGCCCAGGCUUCAACCCACGCGGCUAUCGAGGCGACGGCGAGCGUGGCGUCAGCGGCAGUGGAGCCCCCAACGACUGGUGGCAGCGAACGACGCCUUUGAGCAGCAAGGCCUCUCCCCUUGGCAGCAAUACUCGUCCGCGCAAGCUGUCACCGUCGGGAAACUCACCCGACGAGGGCCGCCGUCGCAGUCAGCGUGAGAAGCAGAUUCAGUUCGGGUACGUCACGGACGGCUACACAAACAUGAAGCGGCUCAUCGCGCACGAUCCGCUGCUGAGGAGCGGCGGCAUCCUCCCGCUUUCGCCACCGGACGUUUUCAAGGGGAGCAAGCGCCUGUGGGACAUUCAACUCCGCAAGUGGCGUCGCGCACUGCACAUGUUCGAUUACGUCUUCAUCGAUGGCGAAGAUCGCCUGGAGACACGGGCGAAGGUGCUAGAGGAGCAGCGACGGCAGUGGGUAAGCGAGGCAUUCAACGAGAUGCCGCGUGAGGCGCGGCUGAAGAUCGACCUCGACACCCUGCGCGGCGUCCAGUGCUCCUCUGCCGUGCCGAGCAGAAUCCCCAUCGAGGAAGACCUGCGAUGCAUCCUGCGAAGCGACGACUGCUACGAGUCCGUCCGCAGCGUCGUACCGCAGAGUGCGUCGUCGCUGACCAAGGGCACCGACAUCAGCCCCCUCGAGGCGGGCAUCAAGAUCCACAUUGCGCCGUCGGCUGCGGUGCUGCAGCGGCAGCAGGCGCAACUCGAAAUGCAGCAGCGACUCUCCUCCCUUCACCAGCAACAGCAGCAACAGCAGGCUUUGGCAACAGAGGUGGCACCGGAAGGUAUGGAGACGGGCUCACACGUCCCGAGCGCCCCGCCAGUGCUAGGCGCAACGGUUGAGUGCGCGGCUGCCGAGCGACCCGUCGAGCUCUCACCAAGUCCGCGUCGUCCACCGCUGCCGCUGCCGUCCUCACCGUCCCCAUCGCAUGUCUCAUGCCCUUCUCCACAGCAGAAGGCGCGCGAGACGACGCCGCAUCGACAGCUCUGCUGCAGCCCACUCCCGCGCAUGACCGCAGCGCCAGUGCCCGCAGCAUUCGGCAGCGCUGAGACAGCCCCGGGGAUCUCGGCCAGUCAGCCUCGCGCCCUCUCUCUCUCGGGCAGCUCAGCGCCGGUGCAGGGUGCCUCACUGGGUUUGCCAGGCAUGUCGGCAACAGCUGCGGUGCUGGCGCCGCCCCCGCCGUUUUCCGGCCCUACACCUUGCAUCGUGCCGAACAUGUGGAUGCCCGGAGUGACCGUAUCGCCAACACCGGCAGCGGCAGCACGGCCGCUGAUGUCGUGGUGCAGUCACUGCGGUCAUUGUAUCGAUCUCCCAGCGCCGGCCAUCACUGGUGCGCCGUAUGGAGGCAUGUGUGCCGGUACCCCCGGCGGCCGCGGCGGAGUGCUGGAACCGGCCCAGGUGCCGCCACAGCACGUAAACCCAGUCGCCGUAGCCGGCACCAGUGGUGCCAUGAUGCCGCCGUCCAUGCAGUUCCGUGGUGCGAUGCCGUACAUGAGCCGUCCCACGAAUUCUAUGGCGGCGGCGGCGGUGGUCACCUCCCCUCUGUACUGGCAGAUGCUGGCACCGCCGGCUGCUGAGUGGAUUGAAGGCGGCGGCACCUUCACCGCGCACCACGGCAGCAGUCACAGCCAGUAUCGCCAGUCCGAGGCGCGGCAAGACGCCUUCGCAGCGAUGCCGCGCUCCGCCGCAACUGUAGCCGGGAGAUCGUGUCCGCGAGACGGGCACCGUCGUAGCAGCGGGGCCGUCGCUACAGGCGGCGGCGCGGCGACGCCGCAGACGGUGCCGCGGUUUGUCGCGCGACUCUCCACCUCGCCCAAUGAGGUACGACUCGGCGAGCGACAGUCCGCCGAACGCCUCCACAGCGCAGAAGUCGCCAGUGGUGUUAUGCCAGCGGUCACGAGGCCACUUGCCGCUGACACCAGAGCAGCAGCGGCAGCGCCAGCACCGCUACGGCAGCCAUCCUCUGUCUUCGAUGACGCCGCCGACGCUGCACGUAUGGAGAAAAGUCAGUCCGCAUUGGCGGUCACUCCUGAACGAAAGCUCUUCGGCACGGGCAUCAUCGCGGACGUGACGACAGAGUCGCGGCCGGUGGUCGUGGGGGCACUGCAGCAAGACGAGACACCGCAGGGCACACCGUCGGGCAAGCCGAGGCCGACUCGGGAGGUCGAGGAUGCGCCGGUGGUCCCUCUUGUCUUCGAUGGCGACGAGUAGAAGGAAGAAGAGGCAGUGGACCGCGUCUAGCCCAUAAGAGUCGGAGGGAAGAGGGGGACAGGCGCUCUGUCCGCCCACCUCUGCGUGCGUAUGUGUGUCCCUUUUCCUCCAUUACAGCCCGCUCUCCUCGUCCGCACGCGCAUAAGCGGAGCGGGCCAAGCAAAACACCACCGCUUCCGAGUGCGACCGCGGGAGGCGGGAGACGGAGGAGAACAGGCAGACCACCGUGCCCAUGCAUCUACGCACAUGCAAGCAUGGACGGUGCACCGCGUCCCUCUCAUCCCCCGCGACCGGCGUUUGGUUAGGGCUCUUCCUUUCGCUUUCCAUUGAUGUGGCAAGACACACGCGGACCGGUAAACACACACACACACACGUAUAUAUAUAUAUAUAUAUAUAUAUAGAUAUACAUGGGCAUGCACACACUCUUUCUGAGCGAUCGAGUUAUAGACAGAGGCGCCUUCUCCCACCGCCGACUCACCCCCUCCCUCCCCUGGUCGACAUCAUCCAGCGGGGGAAGAGGUGCGAAACGGCCCGCAACAACGACAAAGACCUCCUUUGCUCGGCCCUUUUCCUUCUUCACGCGUGUAUGCGUGUGUGCCGCGUGGCACUUUGGGGAAAGGGACGGGGCUGUGACGCGGAGGUCGUGGCGUACGUGCAUGUGGGUACCGCCCCUUAGAGAGCCGCCGGGCAUAUCCAGUGACGAAGGGAGUCAGACAGAGACGCAGGUGGACGGUGAGGCACAACAUUGGCGCAAGGUGGCCGCACACGCGCCGAGCGUGUAUAGCGCCAAUUCAGGGGCGAGGAAGGGAUGUGGUUGAUAUAUGAAGACACACGCACAUAGACAUACAGAGAGGACGGAAAAAACGAAAGCCCCUUUCUUUUCCUCCUUCUAUGACUGAUGUCUUUGUGUGUAGGGUUGGCGAGAGGAGAGGGCAAGUGCCGAAGGAGGCUGUCUAUGGCGCGUCUCUCGAUGAGGCGCCCUCCUCCGUAUUGGUUGCUUCUUUCCGCCCCCGCCCCCCCCUCUCCCUCCCUUUCUCCUUCUCCUCCCCGCCACCCUCGCUGUACUAUCUUCCCAUAUCAGACGGCCGUUGCUGCGUUCCUUCACGGCCUCCGUCUUUUCGCCUUUUGCGCAGCGGUGCGCUGACGCGGGUACCUCAUCACCCGUUUUGUUUGUUGCAGAUGUCUGUCCCCACCUACUGCAUGCGCCCUCUUUGCUGUCGUGGGAUGAUGUCAUUGGCCUACAUGAAUGGCAUGCAUGCGCACAUCCUCACAUGUGUGUGCGUGUCUGCGUUCCUCCUCCUCCGACACAAUGGUUCUAGCGGCAAGCAACAACAG
rnacentral:misc_RNA from 1 species